GACGAACUGUCCUAACGUUGUUCGGAAUCACUGGGCUUAAAGGGCGCGUAGGCGGUCGACCAAGUCAGGGGUGAAAUCCUGCAGCUUAACUGUAGAAGUGCCUUUGAUACUGGUCGUCUCGAGGGAGGUAGGGGUGUGCGGAACUUCCAGUGGAGCGGUGAAAUGCGUUGAUAUUGGAAGGAACGCCGGAGGCGAAAGCGGCGCACUGGACCUCUUCUGACGCUGAGGCGCGAAAGCUAGGGGAGCAAACAGG
rnacentral:rRNA from 1 species